rnacentral:lncRNA from 1 species
CCCCCUUGGCCCUUCCCUCCCUCUGCCGAGCGACCCAGUCCCCUCGCUCCUGGAUCUUCUUCCUCCUCGGCCGAGCGCCGCCACCCAUCACACUGCCUAGCGCCCAUCGUCUUCCUCCUCACGCGAGCGCCUCAACAGCAGGUUGAUCUCCCCUUCGAUUCUCUCGCUCCUGACCGUUUCUCCUCCCAUCACACCACGAACGGAUUCCGCCCUUUAGCUCCCCGUUUCAUAAUCUUCCCCAAUCCGUAACUGAGGCAAAAAUCAAGUUAGGGCAACCGCCCUACCUUUCCCUACUGGGUCCUCCGCCCAUGCUUGUUGGAACUCCAACCGUACUUGGGUGAAAUUUUGAAGGUUUUGCCGAAAAAACUAAAAAUUCAGUGCAUAGGGACCUCUAAAAAACAAAGAUUGUUAGACAACCAUCUCUUGUCCAUUGCCAAUUGUUGCAGCAAAUUAGCUCUGUGAUGUACAUGUAACAACGUCUCUCUGUUUUUCUCUGAAAUCUACAACCACGAAUUCUAGCUAAAUCAGUCAUCAUGCCAUCCUUAGGCUCACAUACUGAUGCAGCCAAGGAGACUGACUUGUCUCAUCGGCAACUGCAAACCUCUUGCUAUCACUCUGAAACCUCACCGUGGUCGGGGCAAACUCUUUGAACUGAGCCAGCUCGGAUUCUGUCGAUGUCGAUGACACCGCCGUCCCAGAGUCAGAGUUUGAGGACUUCACUACUUGCUUGCCCAUCUGGCUUCUGCUGCUACUGCUACUUCUGCUCCCAGUUGCUAGAGUUAGCUCAAGGUUGCAUUCUUCUGCAGAGACAGGGGUGCUGCUCUUUGUGAAGCUGUAUAAUUGCUGACGGUUGGUAGCCUUCUCGUUGCACCAGACGUCGAGUUUAGGCUUCAUCUCGGUGUGAGCUCUGUUCUGCCCUGCUGUCUGCAUCUCCCUCAUCAGCUGCUUCUGAACAUGGUAAACUCGGUGCAUCUCAUGAACCUGGUUUGUAAGAUAUAGAAAUCAGUGAGAUAUAUAACUACCACUGGAAUGCUAGUUUUCAGAUUCUUUUUUCUGCAGCAAUUAAUAGGAAGGGUGUUCAACUUUGUAUUACAAGCUGCAGAUUAUAUUCAGAAGAAUAGUGUCUCCAUGAGAGUGCGGUCGUACCUGCUGUCUGAAUGUUUGUUCUUGCUCCAGGAUAGCCAUCUUCAUCUGCUCUCUAUCCAUCUCUUGGUAAUGGUAGCUGCAAGUCUCCUUUUUUAUGCCUAUCUCCUAUCUGUUUCAUAAGAAUAUCACAAUGAGUACGGCUUGGGACCAUGAAUAGCAAUAUGAUCUGCAUUUCAUUAUCAAAAUAUCUAUCAAAGUUCCUUGUUCCAUAAAUUGGUGACGUUAUUUUCCUAGGCUAUGUUCUGAUGAGUAAAUAUCAUUGUAAAUUUUUCUUCUUCUAGAUUUAUCACUUGUAGAAACCAAUUAUUUUGUGCAACUAAACUUGGAGGAACAAUUAUAUGGUAUCGCUUGAAUAGAUACACACCAGAAAACAAAACUAAAUACCAAAUAAUAUGAUUUAUCAGAUUAAGAUAUUAACUAAAGUAUGACUCUAUUCUUCUCUGAGAAAGUAUGACUCUGUUAUUCUGUAUAUUGGCAAGUUUUGCAGCCAUAACCUAUGCCUUGAUAAUACAACUGAUCAAAUAUUAUCCUUCUCUAACUAAUUGAACUAACACAAUCUUAUUCUUGCAGUUGCAGGCAUUGAUUCCCUCCACACGUUUGAAACAGCAUGCCUUAUCGCUUCUAAGAACGACUGUAAAUUGUUCUUUCUAUGACAGAGUAGCAAAACAGAGGCACGAAGGAGACAGAGAAUGGACUAGCUAAAAACGCCCUUUCAGACUGGCACAUACCAUGAAGCCUUCAGAAAAAAACACAUCAUCGCAAGAAGACAGAACUUUACAAGACAAAGAUCUGCAUACUCUGAACUCUGAAGCUUGCCACAAAUGUUCCAUGGAAGAAGAAACAAGACAAGGAAGAGAUCAGAAGAAGUUUCUGCUCAC